UACGUAGGGUGCAAGCGUUGUCCGGAAUUAUUGGGCGUAAAGAGCUCGUAGGCGGUUUGUCGCGUCGAAUGUGAAAACCCGGGGCUCAACCCCGGGCCUGCAUUCGAUACGGGCAUCACUGGAGUUCGGCAGGGGAGACUGGAAUUCCUGGUGUAGCGGUGAAAUGCGCAGAUAUCAGGAGGAACACCGGUGGCGAAGGCGGGUCUCUGGGAAGUAACUGACGCUGAGAAGCGAAAGCAUGGGUAGCAAACAGG
rnacentral:rRNA from 1 species